rnacentral:rRNA from 1 species
UACGUAGGGUGCAAGCGUUAAUCGGAAUUACUGGGCGUAAAGCGUGCGCAGGCGGUUGUGCAAGACCGAUGUGAAAUCCCCGGGCUUAACCUGGGAAUGGCAUUGGUGACUGCACGGCUAGAGUGUGUCAGAGGGGGGUAGAAUUCCACGUGUAGCAGUGAAAUGCGUAGAGAUGUGGAGGAACACCGGAUGGCGAAAGGCAGCCCCCUGGGUCAAGACUGACGCUCAUGCACGAAAGCGUGGGGAGCAAACAGGAU